UACGUAGGGUGCGAGCGUUGCCCGGAUUUAUUGGGCGUAAAGGGCGCGUAGGCGGCUCGGCACGUCCGUUGUGAAAUCGCCCGGCUCAACUGGGCGGGGUCAGCGGAUACGGUCGAGCUUGAGCAAGCUAGGGGGUAAUGGAAUUCCCGGUGUAGUGGUGGAAUGCGUAGAUAUCGGGAGGAACACCAGUGGCGAAGGCGGGUCUCUGGACAGUUCCUGACGCUGAGGCACGAAGGUCAGGGGAGCAAACGGG
rnacentral:rRNA from 1 species